rnacentral:rRNA from 1 species
UACGUAGGGUGCAAGCGUUAAUCGGAAUUACUGGGAGUAAAGCGUGCGCAGGCGGUUAUGUAAGGCAGUUGUGAAAUCCCCGGGCUCAACCUGGGAACUGCAUCUGUGACUGCAUAGCUAGAGUACGGUAGAGGGGGAUGGAAUUCCGCGUGUAGCAGUGAAAUGCGUAGAUAUGCGGAGGAACACCGAUGGCGAAGGCAAUCCCCUGGACCUGUACUGACGCUCAUGCACGAAAGCGUGGGGAGCAAACAGG